CAGUAGCCGCGGUAAAACGAAGGGUGCAAGCGUUAAUCGGAAUUACUGGGCGUAAAGCGUGCGUAGGCGGUGAGUUAAGUCUGCUGUGAAAUCCCCGGGCUCAACCUGGGAAUGGCAGUGGAUACUGGCUCGCUAGAGUGUGUCAGAGGAUGGUGGAAUUCCCGGUGUAGCGGUGAAAUGCGUAGAGAUCGGGAGGAACAUCAGUGGCGAAGGCGGCCAUCUGGGACAACAUUGACGCUGAGGCACGAAAGCGUGGGGAGCAAACAGGAUUAGAUACCCCAGUAGUCCCUGUCUCUUAUAA
rnacentral:rRNA from 1 species